AGCCAGACUCCUACGGGAGGCAGCAGUGGGGGAUAUUGCACAAUGGGGGGAACCCUGAUGCAGCGACGCCGCGUGGGUGAAGAAGCGCCUCGGCGCGUAAAGCCCUGUCAGCAGGGAAGAAAAUGACGGUACCUGAAGAAGAAGCCCCGGCUAACUACGUGCCAGCAGCCGCGGUAAUACGUAGGGGGCAAGCGUUAUCCGGGUUUACUGGGUGUAAAGGGAGCGUAGACGGCAGUGCAAGUCCGGAGUGAAAGCCCGGGACUCAACCCUGGGACUGCUCUGGAAACUGCAAAGCUGGAGUGCGGGAGGGGCAGGCGGAAUUCCUGGUGUAGCGGUGAAAUGCGUAGAUAUUAGGAGGAACACCAGUGGCGAAGGCGGCUUGCUGGACGAUGACUGACGUUGAGGCUCGAAAGCGUGGGGAGCAAACAGGAUUAGAUACCCUGGUA
rnacentral:rRNA from 1 species